rnacentral:rRNA from 1 species
GACGAACGCUGGCGGCGUGCCGAAUACAUGCCAGUCGAACGAGUGGAGGACGGGUGAGUAACACGUGGGAACCUAACCAGCAGAGGGGGAUAACACUUGGAAACAGGGGCUAAUACCGCAUACUGAUGGAUGAGCCCGCGGUGCAUUAGCUAGUAGGUGGGGUAAAGGCUCAGCUAGGCGACGAUCUCUAGCUGGUCUGAGAGUAUGAUCAGCCACACUGGGACUUAGACACGGCCCAGACUCCUACGGGAGGCAGCAGUGGGGAAUAUUGCACAAUGGGCGCAAUCCUGCUGCAGCCAGGCCGCGUGUAUGAAGAAGGCCUUAGGGUUGUAAAGUACUUGCAGCGGGGAGGCGUUACCCGCAGAAGAAGCACCGGCUAACUCCGUGCCAGCAGCCGCGGUAAUAC